CGAAGAAAGAAACCAACAAACAUAAGAGACGGAAACGAAAACGAGACGGAUGCCACGAAUGAUGUCAUAGUCAUCUUCACGGGUUGAAAGAAGAUUUUGCUCGUAUAAUUAUUGGUCGACAAACAAAAAGCGUCGUCUUGGUGUGCUUGGGUAUUCACCGCCGUCGCCAAGAACGGAGUCGUGGGGGGCGUGAGAAAUAAGAAAGGGCAUCAUCAUCAUCGUUGAUUCAUUGUUCAUCUCAGUUAAGCGGUCAACUGGGGCCAAAUAUUUACAGGAAUUAAAGGAAUUAUGAGGAGCUCGAUGCUGUCUCAAAGACCACUUCCAAUGGAAUACACUAGCAUCCUUUAUACAGCAUGCAUGUCUUGCUCGCCAA
rnacentral:sRNA from 1 species